GAGAAAGCCCCUUCGGGGGUGAGUAGAGCGGCGGACGGGUGAGUAAUGCGUGAACAACCUGCCUUUAGGACUGGGAUAACUAUGGGAAACUGUAGCUAAUACCGGAUAAGACCACGACUUCUACGGAUUUUGAGGUAAAAGGUGGCCAGCUUGCUGGCUAUCACCUUUAGAUGGGUUCACGUUCCAUCAGGUUGUUGGUGAGGUAACGGCUCACCAAGCCUAAGACGGAUAGUUGGCCUUAGCGGGUGGCCAACCACACGGGGACUGAGACACGGCCCCGACUCUUACGGGAGGCAGCAGUGAGGAAUAUUGGGCAAUGGGCGAAAGCCUGACCCAGCGACGUCGCGUGGGGGAUGAAGGCCUUCGGGUCGUAAACCCUUGUCAUAGGGGAAGAUGGGUAUGUGUGCUAAUACCACACAUACUUGACGGUACCCUAAAAGGAAGCCCCGGCUAACUCCGUGCCAGCAGCCGCGGUAAUACGGAGGGG
rnacentral:rRNA from 1 species